UACGUAGGGGGCAAGCGUUGUCCGGAUUUAUUGGGCGUAAAGAGCGUGUAGGCGGCCUGACAAGUCUGCUGUGAAAACUCGAGGCUCAACCUCGAGAUGUCGGCGGAAACUGUCUGGCUAGAGUCCGGAAGAGGAGAGUGGAAUUCCUGGUGUAGCGGUGAAAUGCGUAGAGAUCAGGAAGAACACCAGUGGCGAAGGCGCUCUGCUAGGCCGUAACUGACACUGAGGGACGAAAGCUAGGGGAGCGAAUGGG
rnacentral:rRNA from 1 species